rnacentral:rRNA from 1 species
AGUGAACGCUGGCGGUAGGCCUAACACAUGCAAGUCGAACGGCAGCACAGUAAGAGCUUGCUCUUACGGGUGGCGAGUGGCGGACGGGUGAGGAAUACAUCGGAAUCUACUUUUUCGUGGGGGAUAACGUAGGGAAACUUACGCUAAUACCGCAUACGACCUACGGGUGAAAGCAGGGGAUCUUCGGACCUUGCGCGAUUGAAUGAGCCGAUGUCGUAUUAGCUAGUUGGCGGGGUAAAGGCCCACCAAGGCGACGAUCCGUAGCUGGUCUGAGAGGAUGAUCAGCCACUCUGGAACUGAGACACGGUCCAGGCUCCUACGGGAGGCAGCAGUGGGGAAUAUUGGACAAUGGGCGCAAGCCUGAUCCAGCCAUACCGCGUGGGUGAAGAAGGCCUUCGGGUUGUAAAGCCCUUUUGUUGGGAAAGAAAAGCAGCAGGUUAAUACCCCGCUGUUCUGACGGUACCCAAAGAAUAAGCACCGGCUAACUUCGUG